rnacentral:rRNA from 1 species
UGCGUAGGCGGUAGAUUAAGUUGGAUGUGAAAUACCCGGGCUUAACUUGGGACGUGCAUCCAAAACUGGUCAACUAGAGUGCAGGAGAGGGAAGCGGAAUUCCUAGUGUAGCGGUGAAAUGCGUAGAUAUUAGGAGGAACACCAGUGGCGAAGGCGGCUUUCUGGACUGUAACUGACGCUGAGGCACGAAAGCGUGGGGAGCAAACA